rnacentral:rRNA from 1 species
UACGAAGGGUGCAAGCGUUAAUCGGAAUUACUGGGCGUAAAGGGUGCGUAGGCGGUUCGUUAAGUCUGUCGUGAAAUCCCCGGGCUUAACCUGGGAAUUGCGAUGGAGACUGCAAGGCUAGAAUCUGGCAGAGGGGGGUAGAAUUCCACGUGUAGCAGUGAAAUGCGUAGAGAUGUGGAGGAACACCGAUGGCGAAGGCAGCCCCCUGGGUCAAGGCUGACGCUCAUGCACGAAAGCGUGGGGAGCAAACAGG